UCCAGCAAUACUACAACGAGCCAUAUAUUCUAAACAGGUUUUUUUAAAGGGAAAAGUACAUAUUUGUACAAAAAAUAUUUAUAGGAGCUCUUUUUGUGGAGGCAUAGAUUUGGAAAUUGAGGGGAUGUCCAUCAAUUGGGGAAUGGUUAAAGAACUUACAGCCAAAAGGGGGUGAUUACCUCUGACUUAUGGGCAGCUACACAAAAAGCAUUCAUAUGCCUGAAAAGGAGCUCAGCAGGGAACGAGAUGAUGACCCAAGUCACCAAAGCCUUGUCAUCCCUCCAUCAAUGACACCACAAUGCUUCUGACUGGGACUGGGAAGCUAUUCUAGCCCUGUCUUCUCUUUAGCAUCCAAGGGAAGAAGAGAGUCAACACUUGAGUGUGUCCUGAAGACACAGGUGAGGAAAAUUUCUGGUCUGAAUAUUCCAUUUAGCAUAGGAGGGUCUGGGUGACCCUUUGUGGAGGACUAUUUAACCUGAGAGAUAUAUUGUCAAAUUCUAGAUGGUGGAAGAGAAAUAGAUUCACCUAUUCGAAAAUGAAGGGGCCCCUCUCAAAAUCCAGAAGUGAACAGCAAGGAUGGAAUUGCCCAUGAGAGGAAAGGUGACGGAGUGGUCAGAGAGAAUCAGAUAGGAAAUCUCCCUGAAAACGAAACUCUGACAUGCCACUCUUUGCAAAUCCAAAGAAAUGCGUUCUCCCUUGUAUUCCAGGAACAAUGGCCAUAAUGCUGAGAAGCAGUACAAUCUGGAAGAAAGAUCCUGAGACCCACCAAGGUGGGAAUUUCAGGGAAACUUGGUCAGUCUGAGGUCACCUAUGUGAUAUUUGCCUUCCUUGUCUAUUUUGAGAAUUGGCCUUGUCUGUAGAAGGAAGAAAGAGUUACUCUGAGAUGGUUUGUGCAAGGGACACACUCACAAGAUGUCUUAUAACCAAACAAGAAGAAUCUCAUGAAGACACUGCUUUGUAUCCACAGGGAGGGACAGAUUGUAUACCAUCCAAGUGAAGACUUCCUUAACUUUUGAUAAUCCCAAUCAAUCCUAGACUGGCUCUUGAUGAAGUAGCUAUUGGGAAGAAUCUGCUAGGAAGACAAGAGUGAAUCCUAUUAUCCCUUUAAUGUGUUCACCACAACAUAUUCUACUUCUCUAGCCCCUUCUCUUGGUUCCAGACCCAAGGAAAAAAGGCCUUUAGAUGAGCAAGAGAAGCAAACGAUCUGAAAACAACUGAGGCAGUCAGUCUUUGUGGAUAUUGCUCAUUAUCAAUCUGAGGUACGGCAUCACUGUAGAGUAACAAAUGUUUUUCUUCCUCCUUCUUCCUCUCAUCCUUCUCCUCUUGUUCCUCCCCGAGUCCAACCUUACUACCAUCCAACUGCUCCCAAAACCACAUUCCACUGCCCACAUUCCAAUUCCACAACAGUCUAGGUCACUCGGCUUUUCAAUGUAGUAGUCAAGAAAGAGAUGGCAGCCAGUUGGAAAAGUUUUGUUGUUUCCCAUCACAAUUGGGCCUUCUCUAGGAUUAGUCCUUUAUGGAUAAAAGAAUAUACACACAUUCACUUUGAUGAACACACACAUACACACACACUCCACCCAAACAGGUAUUUUUUUUGGUAUCUAUAUAUGUACAGAUGGAUAGAUGGGGCUGAAUUCACUAUGAUUCCACGCAAGUCUACAAAAGAAAUGUCAAAUGUUUUGUGUCCACAAAAUUAUCAAGUGUGUUGCUUGACCUCAAGCUACCAUUUCAAGUCUAUAUAGCCUUUGGCAUUGAAUGUCUCUUCUUGCGUCCUUCUUGUAUUUCUCGGGUAUGAGUGAAUGAUACAAUAAGGGUCAUGUUAAAGUGAGAGAAAGGGUCUUUUCUAUCCCUGUUAACACUACUCAAGUCCCUCAAUUUACAGCAAAGAGGGUGAUGAAGAAAAAGGACUUCUCUACCUCCAUACUGACAUUUCCAUUAACAUUUACUAUUCACCUGGCUGAGUGACCAUGGAAGCAAAGGUAUAUCGAGUUUUGAGCUUUCUCUUUUUUGAAUCAAUGGAACUUAGACUUCUAGUUCUCAUAUUUAGAUACAUAGAAAGACAGAUAGAUAGGAACAUAAUGAUAUAGAGAUAGACAGAAAUAUACAGAGAUAGAUAUACAUAAGGAUAGUAGAUAGACAGACAGAGACAUAGAGAAAUAUAUAGAUAUCCUCUCCGUUUGCUCCUCAGGACUUCCAAUUACCACUAUCUUGGCAAGAUUUAUUUCAGUUUCUUAGCAUCUGUGGCUUGGCGAAGAGCUCACCUCUCAAUAUCCCACCUUUCUCCUUCUCCCCGUCUCUCCCUAAAAGCCCUAAGCCUUUGACCAUGGUAGCGUACUUAAGGCCUAAAGAAAUGGAACAACUAUGGGCUUAGACUACCUGAUGAACACAAUGAAUAUUAAUGGCCAGCAAAGAAAGCUGCACAUACCUACUUGGCCACAAAUGGCUCCUAGGAUCCCAGAUAAAGAUGAUGGACAACACACCAAAACCACACCUCCAGAAAACACCACAAAGAAAAUCACCCGACUCUCCUCUCCUCUCCACUGACCUCCACUGCACCUUCUACCACUACAAGGCAAAUGCCACUGGAUACCUCAGGUAUCUUAGCACCCCCUUCAUUCUGUUACCAUGGCAUGAUGCAACCACCACAACAAUCCUCCAUCAUUCCAGCAGACCACCUCAGAGUAGCAAAGGCAAUGCUUCCUCUUGGGUUUGGGCUCUGGAGCUCAAGGAGGGCAGAGGUCAGGCCUAGACACCCUGGGGCCUUUGACUUUCAUCUCCCCAUCCUCUCAGGGGCCCUGACUUCCAUCCUUUUGGAAUCACACACAAGAGUUAUGUGCCCUAAGUGAUCUUCUCCUCCCACCAGGCUGAAAUUUGCUUCUUUCAGUUACUUGGCACUUUCUUUUCUGCACCUGCCAAAUUACCCACUGGGGCUGGAGGAAUCUGCACUUUAGCCUCCAUGACACCUCUCUUCUGACUUGGUCUGCACACAUUAUGGUUUCCCAACCUCAAUCAGAUCUCUGCUCCCCUCAGUGUCUCAGUUUCUACUAUUCUGAGUCCCCUGGAGAGAAACUGGAGGCCAACUUCCUCCUAGCAAGAGAGAAACAGUUAAUUUUCAACACCUGUUUCUGCUCACCUUUGCCUCUCCCACCUUGGCACACUGUUUCCUGGAUCCUCUCUUUUAAGUCAGAGACUCACCUGUUUUCCUUUGAAGCAGAAAGAGCUCAAUCUCUCCCCUGGACCAACACUGAAAUAGAAAGCUCGUUUCUCUAGUGGCUUGACUUCUCUAUGCAGUGUCCUAAGCAAUCCUUCCUUUCCUCCAAAGAACCACCCAGGGCCCCAUUAUUCCUUCUAUUCCCUCUCAGAACUGCCCUGAAGGUUGAAAAAUGGUGCUUCAGGGAUCUUCCUUACUGCCUGCCAACUUCACCUGCUCCCAACUUUUCCUUCCUCUUCAGCACAGAGCUCACGCAUUCUUUUCUCUUCUUAGCAACUACAAUCUGUUGACUUUCCAAGUUCACUUUUUCAUUUUCCUUGUAGCCUCUCUUCUGCAUCUCUACAUCAUUGCUGUGCUUCCUUAAUUGGUGGUCUCUCCUAGACAUUGUUCCUGACCCAUGGUCACCACACAACCCUUCCACUAAUCAAUGGAUCCUACUCUCUUUUUGGUCUCUUCACAGCAGCCCUUCAUCCUGAAGGCCUCUUUAUGAGGCCAGCUCAUCCAUUCCCUCUGCUACUCCUGCAUGACCUUGACCUGUUUUGGCUUGCUUUCCUUCCCUCAACUUUCCCUCACACCUAAGCCACAAAUUCCAGAGGCCUCACACCAAAUUUCAGUCACUGGCCUUGCCCCCAAUACCAAAAUCCUCCUCUUUCCCUCCAGACUCCUCCUGGCUUCAGCAGCCCUACUUCAACAGCAGCUUCUCCUAGGAAGAGCUCCAGAAGAACCUGGCUGUCAAUGCUCCUGCCAGACAUGCUGUAUGUUCUUUCUCUACCUGCUGCUGGUUCCAGAAAUGUCUCACUCAAGGCCAAAAGGGGUUGGUUGCCUCUGCCUUGUGUGCUGCACAAAAAGCAUUUGCAUCCCUGAAAAGGAGCUUAGCAGGGAAUGAGAUGAUGACCCAAGUCACCAAAGCUUUGCCAUCCCUCCAUCAAUGACACCACAGCGCUUCUGACUGGGAGUGGGCAGCUAUUCUAUCUGUCUUCUCUUCAGCAUCUGAGGAAGAAGAGAACCAGUAGUUAAGUGUGUCCUGAAGACACAGGAUCUGGCUCAACACAGACUCCAAGAUUUCCAACCAAGAUGAGUGGAAAAUAACGAUACCACUAACAUAAGUCAGAAACCACCUCUGGGGUGAAAAUCAUGAGUUAAGCAUGAAUUCUCUUUGCUGUGGAGUAGGAAGAUGGAUGCAAGAAGGAUGACCAGAAGGAGGAAGAAGUGGCAAGAUGCCCUAGAAGCUUGGUACUGUAGGGAAAUUUCUGGCAGGAGAAACUGGGGGCUAGCCAUUCUAUUCCAUUCUGUUUGGCCAAGAACAGGGACGGAGAUGGAAAUUGACAGUGGUCCAGGAAGCCAGUUUUUUGCUACUGCUGAGCAAAUGCCUCCAAAGAAGAGCUGGAAUGAAACAUACCAGUGAACAGAAAUAAGGAUGGAAGAGGACGGGACUGGCAUAUAAAACCAUAACCUCAAAGAUUAAUCAGUAUACAAGACUAAUGCUGGUCAUCAGACUGGACUGCAGCUUUACAUUCCACCUAGCCAUCCAAUUUCACCAUCCAUCAACAGCCACUGAGCUGCUCUUCCUCAUCUGGACCUGUAGUAUCCACUAAGCUUCAGACUGGGAUCUCCACACUGGAGAUUUCCUGAAUCCAUGACCUACUCCUUGGAAAAGUUAAUUCAUUCAUUUUUGGCUAGCCAAUCCUACUGAAUGAGCCUGUCAAUUCCUCCCUGACCUGUCCCCAGCACAAAACUCUCCUCCCUGGUUACCUAUUCCUGUAUGUGUUAUUUUCCCUGUUGGAAUGUAAUUAGGAAAGAACUGUCUCUUUUAAAAUCUUUGUAUCCUCAGCAUUUAGUACAAUGCCUAGCACAUAAUAAGCACCUAAA